AUCAUAGCAUCCAUCCUCUAGGUCUGUAAGGCCGAUAGCUGAAGGGCCAGUGUAUCGAUUCGCCGCUGCUGAGCAUCAAGUUGAAGCUGUCAGUCGUCUAGCUGCCCUUGUAGUCCCUCGUGGUCCCUCUGAUGAAAACCCCAAAAGGAGAAUUAGUUAGCACAUUUCAUGCAUACAUGCAUACAUUUUGCAUCUCAUAACU
rnacentral:lncRNA from 1 species